UGGGGAAUAUUGCGCAAUGGGCGAAAGCCUGACGCAGCGACGCCGCGUGAGGGAUGAAGGCCUUCGGGUUGUAAACCUCUUUCAGCAGGGACGAAGCGAAAGUGACGGUACCUGCAGAAGAAGCACCGGCCAACUACGUGCCAGCAGCCGCGGUAAUACGUAGGGUGCAAGCGUUGUCCGGAAUUAUUGGGCGUAAAGAGCUCGUAGGCGGUCUGUCACGUCGACUGUGAAAACCCGAGGCUCAACCUCGGGCCUGCAGUCGAUACGGGCAGACUAGAGUUCGGUAGGGGAGACUGGAAUUCCUGGUGUAGCGGUGAAAUGCGCAGAUAUCAGGAGGAACACCGGUGGCGAAGGCGGGUCUCUGGGCCGAAACUGACGCUGAGGAGCGAAAGCGUGGGGAGCGAACAGGAUUAGAUACCCCCGUAGUCC
rnacentral:rRNA from 1 species